AACGGCCGUACCAUGCUGAAUAUACCGGUUCUCGUUAGAUCACCGAAGUCAAGCAUCAUUGGGCGCGGUCAGUACUUGGGUGGGUGACCACCUGGGAGCACCGCGUGCAGU
rnacentral:rRNA from 1 species